GAUUUUAUUUAAAUUUUUUCUGAAAAUACUUUUGGCGUUUAUAGCGCCACUACCAUUACAUUGUCGAUUCGGUCAAGAGAAUUCAUAAAGAACAAAAAUUUGAAGAAAACGAUUAAAAUUUCUGUGGAAGUGAAGAAGAAUACUCCUGAAAAAAAUGUUAUGAAUCUUAUGCGUUUUGUUCAUCUUGCCAUUUUGUGUUAAAAGCGACGUUUCGUCGCCAUUUUUAAAAUUUUGCAAUGUUACUUUCCGAUUGACAAUAAAUUAAAAGUGGAAGAAUGUUCAUUCUGAUGCCACUGAAAAGCAAAUUUUUUCAUCUUGGAGGAUCUUGUAGUUAAUUUAGGAACAUUCACUCCAGAAAAUAGCUGCACGUGUGUCGAAAGAAAGCAUGACAGUGCCUUUGUUUCAUUUGGAACAGAGACAGUGUGGCAUUGCUAAAGGAAGGAUUUAUAACAAUGAAUGAACUGAAAUGGCAGAAUUAGCAUAACUGAAUUAAUGUGGAGCUAACGUUUCCAUCAGUGUGAAUUUUACAGAUUUACUUGCUUUGAAAGUGCCCGUUUGUAUAGAUUAUCCAACAAAAGGGAAGGAAUUGCAGUUAAUUUUGAUGCUACUGAAGUAAUAUAUGCUAUUGAUGUCUUCACUUUGCAACAUUAUGGAGUUAAUUUUGAACUUUCGAGGAGGAGGCAACGGGAAAUUAGUUUGGAAAGGACUGAAACAAGUGUGGAUUUCCUCUUGGAUUUGACUUGACCAUUACACUUGGAGACUACUACUUCUGCUACUUCCUGCAUGACAUCAUAUUAGUUGCUCUCUAUGUCUUACUAAUAAACAAUUAUCUUUUGUACAGUAUAAAUUGAGGUUAACGUGUAUCUACGGUAUUUCAUUUUUUUAAAAAUCUAUUGUUGAGAUCAUCGACUUAUACUGCUAUAUUAUUAUAUGUCUAUGGUUGAGAGUAUAAAUUGACGUAUUAUCGUGCGUCUAUGACUAUCCAUAUUUAUGUCAUGAUCUAUGGUCAUGGUGUCAAUAACGUUUGUCGCCAUUUUAUUAUGAUUCAGCAAUUUUAUUUGCUUCUUGGUGCUUAUUGUUAGGGGUUUUUAAUUCUUUCCUUACUUAUAGUGUAAUUAAUACAUUUUUUUGUCCAUCUCUACAGAUUAUCGAACAAAUGAGUUCAGUUUGGCUGUACUGAAACGGCUAAUGUCUACAUGGGUGUUUUCGUUUCUGAACUUGGUUUUGAUUUACUAUUUGUGUCUUCACCUCGCAACCUAUGCAGUUAAUUUUCAACCGAUGAGUGGAAGCAACUGGAGACUUAUUUGAGCAACAGACUUUCUGCCGUGGUAUUCUGGAUUUGGUUUGCUUUUUACACAUGCAAACAUUGAGAGGUAGCAGUCUACAGUUAAUUAAGAUCGACGCUGGA